rnacentral:tRNA from 1 species
GAGGGUGUGGCUCAGAAGUUGACAGCUCUGGCCGCUCAUCCAGAGGACCUGAGUUCAAUUCCCAGCGCCCACA